UUCCGCUAUCCAACGAUAGAUCAGUAAUCGGGUGGUUCUUUACAAACCAGUUAGUAAUUCAGCAAAGGGGGAGCCUGAUGCAUCCAUGCCUUCUGCUAUGGCUGGUUUAUUGAGGGUUCACAAACACAUAUAUGAUGGUUUUGAAGGUGAAUCUGCGCAGCCACCAUGUUCUGGCAAUAUGCUAAAGUUAGGUAGGAGUCAUCAUUGGGAAGCAAGGAGCGGCCAUAAAAUCUAUUCAAGAGGCUUCUAACUCAAUUGUUCGUAUUGUAGGUAGGAGUUCUAAACUUUGUGCAGUAUAUGUACUGAGUAUUUUGAAUUAGGCAUUUUUAACUUCGUGGAUGAACUUGUGCGAUGACUAAGCAAUUUUGUUUGUGAGUUUUAUUAUAGUUUGUUUCUACUGUCGACCAUUUUGGAUAAAUUGCGUGAGUAAUCAUUAAACUUA